rnacentral:rRNA from 1 species
CCAGAGCCACUAUCCUUGCUAUGGUCGAUCAGGCUGCCACUGAAGAUCAAGAUCUUCUUAUGGCAGCGGAUCCGUGGCCAUCUUCCCUCCGAAGUAGAGGUUCUCAAACGAAACAGCCCCGGAGAUGGUCAUUGCCUUCUUUGCGACACCACGAAAGACUUGAACCAUAUAUUCUUCACUUGUGUUAUGCCCCAAUUCCUGUGGAGUUGUUUCAGGGAAGUGUGUGGCGGUCCAUGCUGUCACACAAACUUCCCUGACCUGUUCGCAGAACUCCAAACCACUCUUGUGGGCUCCCGCCACAUUAGGUGGCUUGGGGUCGGAGUUCUUGCAUGGACUCUUUGGACGAUCCCUAACAAGCUUGUGAUUGAGCAUGCACCUCUUCGACGGUCUACUGAUGCACUUUACAAACUUUGUGGAUUCUUACAACUCUGGAAACCGCUUAGUCAUCACCAGGCGCACGCUUGCAUCGACUCCAUCACCGCCGGCCUCCGCUCCAUCGCGCUUCGCUUGUAG